rnacentral:rRNA from 14 species
CACCGGAAAGAUUGACAGAUUGAGAGCUCUUUCUUGAUUCGGUG